ACGCCGCCACGCGCCGCCGCCGGAUUACCUAGCUACGUGUUUACAGCUGUAAGAAAGAAGCGUUCACCCUUCUACAAUUACUGAGCGCCUCGGAUGACAGAGUGUGCUAUAACAUGCCACUAUGUGGGUAUCGAGAAUACAGACGACGCGACGGUGCAACGUGAUGCGUUAACGACGCUGCAAUAAAUUACGUUUGGUGGUCGGCCAGUGCCUCUACCACGAGUUUACUGUCACCGUUGCCGCUAGCCACGGCGUCAAUUACUUUACAAUGUUGUAUGGCAAAUUAUGCGGCGCCCCUACGGCCAUUAGAAGAACACAUUUUUAUCCUUCUGGCGUAAUGGCAGUACAAUAUCGCUAUUAUUAGCUCUAAACCGAGAUAAAGAUUUUUGCCGCCGUCGGUCAAGCCAAUGCGCGCUGUGGUAACUAUUAACUAUGACGUAAAACGGUCAAUGUUCAGUUUAUAUCAUGCGCGCGCCGAUCGACGGUAACUAAAAUGAACAUGACUAAACAAUUUAUGUGAACUGUCAGUUACAAUUGUGUGAAGGAG